rnacentral:rRNA from 1 species
CAGCAGCCGCGGGAAUACGAAGGGGGCUAGCGUUGCUCGGAAUUACUGGGCGUAAAGGGAGCGUAGGCGGAUCGUUUAGUCAGGGGUGAAAUCCCGGGGCUCAACCUCGGAACUGCCUUUGAUACUGGCGAUCUUGAGUACGGGAGAGGUGUGUGGAACUCCGAGUGUAGAGGUGAAAUUCGUAGAUAUUCGGAAGAACACCAGUGGCGAAGGCGACACACUGGCCCAUUACUGACGCUGAGGCUCGAAAGCGUGGGGAGCAAACAGGAUUAGAUACCCCGGUAGUCCCUGUCUCUUAUAC